rnacentral:rRNA from 1 species
GGGUUGUGAGGUUAAGCGACUAAGCGUACACGGUGGAUGCCCUGGCAGUCAGAGGCGAUGAAGGACGUGCUAAUCUGCGAUAAGCGUCGGUGAGGUGAUAUGAACCGUUAUAACCGGCGAUUUCCGAAUGGGGAAACCCAGUGUGUUUCGACACACUAUCAUUAACUGAAUCCAUAGGUUAAUGAGGCGAACCGGGGGAA